rnacentral:rRNA from 1 species
CUAGAAAAUUGUCAAAACUUUCAACAAUGGAUCUCUUGGUUCCGGCAUCGAUGAAGAACGCAGCGAAAUGCGAUAAGUAAUGUGAAUUGCAGAAUUCCGUGAAUCAUCGAAUCUUUGAACGCACAUUGCGCCCCCUGGCAUUCCGGGGGGCAU